rnacentral:rRNA from 1 species
CGCCUAACACAUGCAAGUCGCACGAGAACGUCCCCGCAAGGGGACCGGUAAAGUGGCAGACGGGUGAGUAAUACGUGGGUAACCUACCCUCAAGAGGGGGAUAACCCCGCGAAAGCGGGGCUAAUACCGCAUAAUAUCCCGAAACGCGAGUUUUGGGCUCAAAGAUGGCCUCUAUUUAUAAGCUAUCACUUGAGGAGGGGCUCACGUUCCAUCAGCUAGUUGGUGGGGUAACGGCCUACCAAGGCACUGACGGAUAGCUGGUCUGAGAGGACGACCAGCCACACUGGCACUGAGACACGGGCCAGACUCCUACGGGAGGCAGCAGUGAGGAAUCUUGCGCAAUGGGCGAAAGCCUGACGCAGCGAUGCCGCGUGGGGGAUGAAGGCUUUCGGGUCGUAAACCCC